AGUGAACGCUGGCGGUAGGCCUAACACAUGCAAGUCGAACGGCAGCACAGUAAGAGCUUGCUCUUACGGGUGGCGAGUGGCGGACGGGUGAGGAAUACAUCGGAAUCUACUUUUUCGUGGGGGAUAACGUAGGGAAACUUACGCUAAUACCUCAUACGACCUACGGGUGAAAGCAGGGGAUCUUCGGACCUUGCGCGAUUGAAUGAGCCGAUGUCGGAUUAGCUAGUUGGCGGGGUAAAGGCCCACCAAGGCGACGAUCCGUAGCUGGUCUGAGAGGAUGAUCAGCCACACUGGAACUGAGACACGGUCCAGACUCCUACGGGAGGCAGCAGUGGGGAAUAUUGGACAAUGGGCGCAAGCCUGAUCCAGACAUACCGCGUGGGUGAAGAAGGCCUUCGGGUUGUAAAGCCCUUUUGUUGGGAAAGAAAAGCAGCAGGUUAAUACCCCGCUGUUCUGACGGUACCCAAAGAAUAAGCACCGGCUAACUUCGUG
rnacentral:rRNA from 1 species